AAAACCUGAAGUAGUUCAUAGACAUGGAUUAGGUGCUCACUCUAUUCGGAAGCCUUUUAGUGGUUCCAUGCCACUGCUAAGGAAAGUAUUCAUCAACAAUUUGUGGAUGUCCAUCAGAUGGAGGAUAGGACACAACCACUAUAACAUCUGAGUGCUGUUGCAAUCCAGGGCCAAACUCCAUCUGGCUCAGGAAACCAGGGCUGGGUCUGCUGUCUCUUCUGGGUUUCCGCUUCAUUAUCCUCAUCUCUGGCUCAUUGCGAGUUGGCAUCACCAUUCCAAGGAAACCAUUCAUUUCAAAAUUAAUGGUACCUAUAUCUCGAG